rnacentral:lncRNA from 12 species
AUGAUCUCUAUAUCUGAAGAACACAGCAAGGACUUCCAUGUUACAGGAUACAGACAACCCAGAUGGCCACCUGGUGUGGGAAUGAUACUUGAUUUCAAUUCAAAGUCCCUUCUUCUGGAGAAUUUGGGGAAGGUUAACAUGAGACCUGGGAAGUCACAGGUCAAAGAGGGGAUGGAGCAGAGAAGAAGCCAGUUACAAGACCUUUCCUGGAAUAGAGAGGAAGGAAAGAGGAAGUGGAGCAGUAAACACAGGGGGUGAGAUGCCCCUGUUGGAUGUCCUUUUCAUGUUGCUGACUGCAUCAGAAAGAGAGCUGAUCCAUGUCUUUAUGAUGACGAUAUGGUAAAAGGAGGAUUUGCCCUUUUCUCCAUUUUAAAUCCAC